AAAAAGUCGAAAUUAUUCGUACAGAAGUGAGUGCAGCGAUAUAAUGUGGCAAAAAAUGUUGAUGAUUUAGCAGAACAUGGCUCGAUAUGCAAAGUGGAAAAUAUGAUAUCAAUAUGUAAAAAAGACGAUUAAAAAAUAGUGAAUCUGUUUUCGCGGAAUCCUGACUUAACACUGCGUCAAGGACAAGCAAAAUUGAAGCAGAAAGGUUUAGAUAUAUCGUACAAACUAUUCGAACCUAUCUCAAGACUAAUAACAUGAAAUGGUGCAAUACCACGCUGGUCGACCACGCUCUUACUUGACUUACUUUUUGGGACUUCAAGAGAGACAUAAGAUGAUGCCAUUGGUUUGACCUUGGUUGGCAUUGUCAAGGUCAGGACAAGGCUCCUGACUAGUCGCAGCGACCAUGUUGGAAUCGUGACAUCAGAAGCGAGGAAUGAUACGUUAAUUAUAUUGCGUGCCAUUUUUAAAUGAAGACAAUUUGGAUGAAACGAAAUGACUUUAAUUACAUGUGUUUAAAAAAAAAAA